rnacentral:rRNA from 1 species
UACGUAGGGUGCAAGCGUUGUCCGGAAUUAUUGGGCGUAAAGAGCUCGUAGGCGGUCUGUUGCGUCGGCUGUGAAAAACCCGGGGCUCAACCCCGGGCCUGCAGCCGAUACGGGCAGACUAGAGUUCGGCAGGGGGAGACUGGAAUUCCUGGUGUAGCGGUGAAAUGCGCAGAUAUAGGAGGAACACCGGUGGCGAAGGCGGGUCUCUGGGCCGAAUACUGACGCUGAGGAGCGAAAGCGUGGGGAGCGAACAGG